UAAGACGGAGGGAGCAAGCGUUGUCCGGAAUCACUGGGCGUAAAGAGCUCGUAGGCGGGGACUUAAGUCAAGGAGUAAAUCCAUCGGCUCAACCGAUGAACCAUCCUUGAUACUGGGUCUCUUGAGGACAGGAGGGGAAAGGGGAAUUCCUGGUGUAGCGGUGAAAUGCGUAGAUAUCAGGAGGAACACCGGUGGCGAAGGCGCCUUUCUGGCCUGGUCCUGACGCUGAGGAGCGAAAGCUAGGGGAGCGAACGGGAUUAGAUACCCCGGUAGUCCUAGCUGUAAACGAUGGAUACUAGGUGUAGGGGGUAUCGACCCCCUCUGUGCCGCAGCUAACGCAAUAAGUAUCCCGCCUGGGGAGUACGGCCGCAAGGUUGAAACUUAAAUGAAUUGACGG
rnacentral:rRNA from 1 species